rnacentral:rRNA from 1 species
GUCCACGCCGUAAACGAUGGGUGCUAGACGUUGGCGAGCUUGCUCGUCAGUGUCGCAGCUAACGCGUUAAGCACCCCGCCUGGGGAGUACGGCCGCAAGGUUGAAACUCAAAGGAAUUGACGGGGGCCCGCACAAGCGGUGGAGCAUGUGGUUCAAUUCGACGCAACGCGCAGAACCUUACCAGCCCUUGACAUGGGAGUUAACGGGACCAGAGAUGGUCCUUUCGGUUCGGCCGGACUCCGCACAGGUGCUGCAUGGCUGUCGU